GUCCUGCUGGCCCCAGCUUGCUGGGCUGAGCAUUCCCGGGCAGCAGAGAAGAGACCCACCCAGAGCCAGGACUGCAGAGAGCGAGCCGAGGGUCCUGGAGACCAGGCGCAGAGUGCGCAGGACAGAGAGCCCCAGAGGGCCUGGAGGACGACAGAACCUCCCACCCAGGGCUGGACAGUGCACGAUGAAAGGAAGCUACCGGAAGGCAGAGAGCGCUGUCCACCCACACUGCACUCGGGUCGUGCCUCUGCCCACCCCAGACUGUAGCACCCGGCGUCCCUGGAGCCAGCGCAGAGCACCGCGAGGAGUCUGCCACCAGGGGAUGGUCAGUCCUAACCUAAGCAUGACUUGGGCCCACCUAACAACUGCCCCCAGGUAGCUUCACACCCUGAACAAAGCUCAAGAACGUUUACAAAAAGGCAGUGACACCCCCCAGCCAGUGAUGGCCUCCACUCAAACUCCCAGGCACCGGGAGAAGCAGGAAAGUACGACCCAUAAUGAGGAGGGAAAUCAAUCACUCGGGACUGACUGGGGACCAACACAGAUGUCCGAGUUAUGACUGCAUCCACAUGCUCAGAAAGUCAACCAGAGGCCUGGAAGGCAUUUUUAAAACCCAGAGAAAUGGAC
rnacentral:lncRNA from 1 species